rnacentral:rRNA from 1 species
AUACGUAGGGGGCAAGCGUUAUCCGGAUUUACUGGGCGUAAAGGGCGUGUAGGCGGUCUUGCAAGUCAGAAGUGAAAUUCCUGAGCUCAACUCGGGCGCUGCUUCUGAAACUGCAGGACUUGAGUGCUGGAGGGGAUAGCGGAAUUCCUAGUGGAGCGGUAAAAUGCGCAGAUAUUAGGAAGAACACCGGUGGCGAAGGCGGCUAUCUGGAAAGAAACUGACGCUGAGGCGCGAAAUCGUGGGGAGCAAACAGGAUUAGAUGCCCUGGUAGUCCACGCCGUAAACGAUGAAUACUAGGUGUAGGGGGUAUCGACUCCCUCUGUGCCGCAGUUAACACAAUAAGUAUUCCGCCUGGGGAGUACGGCCGCAAGGUUGAAACUCAAAUGAAUUGACGGGG